GACGAACCGUCCAAACGUUGUUCGGAAUCACUGGGCUUAAAGGGCGCGUAGGCGGGUGAGCAAGUCUGUGGUGAAAUCCUCCGGCUUAACCGGAGAACUGCCGUGGAUACUGCCCAUCUCGAGGAGGAUAGGGGCAUCUGGAACUAGCGGUGGAGCGGUGAAAUGCGUUGAUAUCGCUAGGAACUCCGGUGGCUAAGGCGAGAUGCUGGAUCAUUUCUGACGCUGAGGCGCGAAAGCCAGGGGAGCGAACGGG
rnacentral:rRNA from 1 species